AUACCUUUCUCGGCCUUUUGGCUAAGAUCAAGUGUAGUAUCUGUUCUUAUCAGUUUAAUAUCUGAUAUGUGGACCAAUGGUCUACAUGAUAUUAAAUUAAUUUCUUUAGGGGGAGAGUCCAUUACAAUAGCUUGCUAUUGGGACUCUUGCGUGUCGCCCAAGCGUUGCACUACUGCUCGGGCUGGCGCACCCCAC